GCUUACGGCCAUGCCACCUUAGGCAUGCCCGAUCUCGUCUGAUCUCGGAAGCUAAGCAGGGUCGGGCCUGGUUAGUA
rnacentral:rRNA from 10 species